CAUCCCGUGCUGCCCCCAUCCCUCCCCGGCUUCUGAUACCCGGUCUGGAAUCUUCUCCGAAGUCCUGAGUACCGGGGGCUGGGCGUGCAGUUCGGGAAGGCCGGUGGCGAUGUAGUCCCGAGCAGCCGGAAAUUCAAAGCGCCCUCUCCUGAGGAGCCCUGGAAUUCCUCAUCUACAGUCCCCCAUCCUCUGCUCUGCGCUCCUGUUGAAUGCUCCUGCCAGCUACAAGAACUAAAGUUAUGCCGCUAAAUCUUGUAACGAAAGGCCUCUUUGUGGAAUGAGGUUGAUUUUGAGCUGGGUAUUUUUAGCUGGUAUAGACUCUUGUGGUUGGAGCAGAGGCAAGAGGAUCACUCAGGUUUGAGGCCAGUUCAUCUACUAAGCGACUUCCUGGCCAGCCAGGGGUACACAAUAAGACUGUGUCUCAAAAAGUCAAACAAGAUGAACAAACAAAACCCCUUCUUUAAGAGUCAGUUGAUUAUGGACAUCACUCAUCUGAUGGUGGGAACAGCUCAUUAUCACCAUCAUUCAUCUGAUAGUGGGAACAGUAUAGUAUGAAAACCGGGAUCAGUUUCACCCUGGUGCAUGCGGCUUUUCCUACACCAUUUGAAGAGGCUGUUUUCACCAAUCUGUAGUUGGAACAGAGGCAACUACAAAAAAUCUGUCAAAAAUCAAGUGGCUAUAGUUGCAUGACUAUAUGUGGGUCCUCUAUUCUGUUUGAUUGGUCGUGUGUUUUUGUGCCUAUUAUUGCGUUUCUGUUACUAGGGCCCUGUUAUAUAAGUUGAAAUCAGGUGUGGUGAUACCUCCAGCAAUGAUUCCUUUUGCUCAGAAUUGCUUUGGCUAGUUUAGGUCUUUUGUGCUUCCACAUGAAUUUUUAGGGUUUUCCUAUUUCUUUUGUUUGCUUGUUUGUUUGUUUGUUUUGUUUUGUUGUUGUUGUUGUUGUUUUUGAGACAGGGUUUCUCUGUGUAGCUCUGGCUGUCCUGGAACUCUUGCUUUGUAGACUGGGCUGGCCUUGAACUCAGAGAUCUGCCUGCCUCUGAUUCCCCAGUAUGAGUAUCACCAUGCCUGGCUUUUUUUUUCCUAUGAUGAAUGGCAUUGGAAUUUUUAUGAAGAUUGUAUGGAAGCUACAGGUUGCUUUUAGUAAGAUAGCCCUUUUCACAAAAUUAAUCCUUCUGAUUCAUGAGCAUGGGAAGCUUUUCAUCUUCUAGUGUCUUCUUUAAUUCCUCCUUUAGUGUUUUGAAAUUUUCACUGUGGAGAUCUUUCACUUCUGGCCUCCACACACACACAUGGUUGAAUAUACACACUCAGAAACACACACACAGGUCAAGAAUAGUGACUACAGCCGGGCAGUGGUGGCACACGCCUUUAAUCCCAGCCCUGGGGAGGCAGAGGCAGAUGGAUCUCUGGGCUACAGAGUGAGUUCCAGGACAGCCAGGGCUGUUUCACAGAGAAACCCUGUCUCGAAAAGCAGCAGUAACAAUCCCCCACGGGCCCACAAGACAGCUCAGGGGAUAAAGGCACUUGCUAGCAAACCUGACAACCUGAGUUCGAUGCCCAGCACCUACACUGUAGGAAGGGACCAACUCCUCCCAGUGGUCCUCUGUUCUUCCCACAUACGCUGUGGUACACACCCCCACCCAUCACAGACACACUAAUAAAUGCUUAAGUAAAUAAAUGAGAGAAUAUAUCCCCCCACUUUAUUUUCCAAAGUGGAAAGGGGUUAAAGUUAACUUGAGAGCAUGGCAGCCGCUCCAUGCCUUUUAGACACCUACCAGUUCUGCCUGCUCUCCAGAUUGAUUUGUCCAUUACUUUUGGAGGUGACAUCGCCACCCAGUAAGAUCAGAGUUCGGAUCAUUCCGCUGGGACAGUCUCCAGCUACUGGGACGUUAGCUACAUGCUUGCUGGCGGUUAGCUAAUGCCGCCUGUCAUCUGUAUCGCUCAGUGUGUUGCGUGCAGCCUUCUAAGGCUGAUGUGUUGGUUAGUUCUGUCAACCUGGCACAAUUUAGAGUCACCUGGGAAGAAAGUGUCACUUGGGGAAUUGUCUAGAUCAGGAUUGUGUUGGCCUAAGGGCGGAUCUGUGGAGAACUGUCUUCACUGGUAAUUGAUAUAGAAGGACCCAUCAUGAAUGUGGACAGAACCAUUUCCUGGGCUGGGCCCUGAGCCAAGUGUGAUAAAGGAAGCUAAUUGAGAAGCCAGACAGCGGCAGUGUCUCCCUCUGCUCCUGACUGUGGACCUGGUGCUUUUGGUUCCCGCCUCCUGCCUCAGUUUGCCAGAAAUAAUGGACUGUAUCCUGGAAUUGUGAGCCACAUAAACCCUUUCGUCUCCUAAGCUGCUUCCGGGAAGGGUGUUUGUGUUUAUCACACAACAGAAGUGAAGCUGUGCUAAGCAUCCUCAAGAGUCCCCAGAGGAGGGGAGCUAAAGGGGGAGAGAUGGAAAAAGGCUGGUUCCAUGGAGGCCCGCUCUGCUCUCUACUUCAUCCUGCACCCACUGCUUCAAGAGGGGAUCCCCUCUUCCUAGAACCCUAACAACUACUUAGGGGUCCUUCUAGCUACUUCUCUAAUCCCCACGACACGGCGACUUCUUCUCCUUCCCUGUGUUCUUUGCUUUCUAGAAAAUAAUCCACCCCUGUUAUUCUGAGCGUAGACUGACAUUAAGGAAAAGGAAAUUCAUCAUUGUGUGCUCUCAAAAUGUACCACACAGGAUGCUAGGGGAGAAGAGGCAGGGCAGGGGUGGGGGUGUAGGGACUCCUGUCACAGAAGAGGGAACCUUCCCAGGCAGUCCAGAGUAUUUUUCUUUUACACCAUAGAAAAGGCAACAGAGGAUACUGCAAGCUAACAGAAGGACACUCUGCCAGCACCAGUGCCCCGUGAUUCCCUAUGCAAGCACCAGUGUGGGAAGAGAACAGCAGUACAGAUGUGCAUAUAGCAAGCACGCCUUUAAUUUGAAGACUCGAGUUGCUUCCCUAAGGUCCCAUAUAUGCCUACCUGGUUACUUCCCCUAUCGAUAAUUUGUAACUACCUGCACCUUAGUAAUACUGUGAAGAGGAGAAAUAUGACAUCACCAAGAUAGUUCUGGGACAUUUGGUGUAGGCGUAGAGGUUUGUGGUAAGGCUGAAAAUGUUUCAGGACCAGAGCAGGCAGGGCUGGGUUUGCAGGCACACUUGGGAAAGUUUGGCCUGGGACAGACUAAGAAUUGAAGGCAAAUCCCUGACUCAGCUCAUGUCAUCUACCAUUUUCUAUCCGCCUCAGCCCCACCCCCACCCUCAGUGCAGGUCCCUUGUCCUUGACCCAGGAAUGUAAAACUGCCGUGCUUUUCCCACUACAUCCCCUCCCUGGCUCUCUCUGUGUGCAGUAACACCCCCGGGGUCCCAGGUCUGGCACCCCUUUGUAAGGUCCCUGCUCUGUACAGGGAGGGUGCCACUUUCACCAUCAGUUUUCAGACUGAGGCCCCUGGGGAGUGGUUACCAGUAUGCUGGACAGAAGAGCCACGCAGAGUUUAGAGAAACACCUUCCACACAAGUAGCAACUAUGCCAUCCCUGUUCACACCAACAUCUCCCUCAUUCCGCCUGUACCCUGGAAGUGAGGAGUCCUGAACCAGCACCGCAGUGGUGAGGCACGCCGCUCAUCGAGGAAAUGCAGAUCAAAACCACAACACCCAGCAAGACUGCUAGGACCCUGCGCUCACUCCUGCACAUACGCAGCUCUGGUCUUGAGUCAUCAGUGUGCGCUGGUGACUAUGUACGCGCCUUAAAAAGCUGGGCGCAGACCCCAUCCUCUCUCUCUGCUCUCAGCUCUGCUCCCUCCCCCUGCCACCAUCUUUCUCUCUCUCCAUGCCUGGCUCCCCUCUCUCCCCCCUUUUGCCCUCCUAAUAAAGCUCUGAAAACUAA